GCCUGGGUGGCUCAGUCGGUUGAGCAUCUGGCUUCGGCUCAGGUCAUGAUCUCACAGCUCGUGAGUUCGAGCCCCACGUUGGGCU
rnacentral:tRNA from 1 species